rnacentral:rRNA from 1 species
UACGAAGGGGGCUAGCGUUGUUCGGAAUUACUGGGCGUAAAGCGCACGUAGGCGGAUUGUUAAGUUAGGGGUGAAAUCCCAGGGCUCAACCCUGGAACUGCCUUUAAUACUGGCAAUCUCGAGUCCGAGAGAGGUGAGUGGAAUUCCGAGUGUAGAGGUGAAAUUCGUAGAUAUUGGGUGGAACACCGGUGGCGAAAGCGGCUCUCUGGUCCGGACCUGACGCUGAGGCGCGAAAGCGUGGGGAGCAAACAGG